AGGAAAGGUGGGAGGAGAGAAGGAUGGACCUUAUUGGGUGUUAACACUUUAGAUCAACCCACAGGCGGGCACAGAGAUAAGGAAGAACAUUCGAGAACUUUUUAGUCAAUACAAUAGACCAGUCCGGUGAUGGGAGUAGACGUAACACGGUGUACUGUCGUUCAGCCUGGUCAGCUUACAUUUGCACUUGGGGAGAGACGGACGCAUAACAGAACACAAAAGCUCUACAUGACAACAACGACAACAGUCCCAAGAAAUUAAGAGUUGAACUUGGACGACAGUAACAGUAGAUAUAAAAUGCACAAAACUAUCGCCUCAACGAAACGGAAGUCAGUCACUCUAUAGUUCCAGUAAUUUUGUGGCACUAAUAUGCAUGCAAACAAUUCGUUACAAUGUCAACAGAGCAUUGCCAAGGGUCAUUGUUGUAGAUUCUGAAGUAAAUCCAGUUAUACGGUUUCAAGAAUACCGCGUCUUUGCCAUGUGCAGUCUGCAAGGUUUUUAUAUUCUCUGUGUUGUCUCUUUUGAGAUGUGACAAACGUGUGUUUGAUGUGAAUGAUGAUGGAAUAAAGGUAUAGACAAUUGU